rnacentral:antisense_RNA from 1 species
GGGUGCUUGAGGCUAUUUGUCUCAGGCAUUGACCGAAAGGCAGAUAGAAGAAAGCCCCGGAAACAUUAUGCGUCUUGCAGGACGCUUAACAUUUACCGAGGCCACAUCUAUGCCCUACAACAUAGAGACUAGCCUCUUACAGACCUUCGGGUCAAGGAGUAGU